AUAUCAAUAAGCGGAGGAAAAGAAACCAACAGGGAUUGCCUUAGUAACGGCGAGUGAAGCGGCAACAGCUCAAAUUUGAAAUCGGGCCACCGCCCGAGUUGUAAUUUGUAGAGGAAGCUUCUGGGCAGCGGCCGGUCUAAGUUCCUUGGAACAGGACGUCACAGAGGGUGAGAAUCCCGUAUGUGACCGGCGCGCACCCUCCACGUAGCUCCUUCGACGAGUCGAGUUGUUUGGGAAUGCAGCUCUAAACGGGAGGUAAAUUUCUUCUAAAGCUAAAUACCGGCCAGAGACCGAUAGCGCACAAGUAGAGUGAUCGAAAGAUGAAAAGCACUUUGGAAAGAGAGUUAAACAGCAC
rnacentral:rRNA from 1 species